UACGGAGGAUUCAAGCGUUAUCCGGAAUUACUGGGUGUAAAGGGAGCGUAGGCGGUACGGCAAGUCAGAAGUGAAAGCCUGGGGCUCAACCCCGGAAUUGCUUUUGAAACUGUCGGACUAGAGUGUCGGAGGGGUAAGCGGAAUUCCUAGUGUAGCGGUGAAAUGCGUAGAUAUUAGGAGGAACACCGGUGGCGAAGGCGGCUUACUGGACGACCACUGACGCUGAGGCUCGAAAGCGUGGGGAGCAAACAGG
rnacentral:rRNA from 1 species